CACGUAGGAGACGAGCGUUAUCCGGAUUUACUGGGUGUAAAGCGCGUGCAGGCGGUAUGGUAAGUUGGAUGUGAAAGCUCCUGGCUUAACUGGGAGAGGUCGUACAAGACUGCCAAACUAGAGGACAGCAGAGGGGAGUGGAAUUCCGAGUGUAGCGGUAAAAUGCAUAGAUAUUCGGAAGAACACCAGUGGCGAAGGCGGCUCUCUGGGCUGUACCUGACGCUCAGACGCGAAAGCUAGGGUAGCAAACGGG
rnacentral:rRNA from 1 species